ACGAACGCUGGCGGCAUGCCUAACACAUGCAAGUCGAACGAGACCUUCGGGUCUAGUGGCGCACGGGUGCGUAACGCGUGGGAAUCUGCCCUUGGGUACGGAAUAACAGCGAGAAAUUGCUGCUAAUACCGUAUAAUGACGUAAGUCCAAAGAUUUAUCGCCCAGGGAUGAGCCCGCGUAGGAUUAGCUUGUUGGUGAGGUAAAAGCUCACCAAGGCGACGAUCCUUAGCNGGUCUGAGAGGAUGAUCAGCCACACUGGGACUGAGACACGGCCCAGACUCCUACGGGAGGCAGCAGUGGGGAAUAUUGGACAAUGGGCGAAAGCCUGAUCCAGCAAUGCCGCGUGAGUGAUGAAGGCCUUAGGGUUGUAAAGCUCUUUCAGCUCCGACGAAGCGAGAGUGACGGUAGGAGCAGAAGAA
rnacentral:rRNA from 1 species